UGGAACUGCCAUCAAAACUUUUCAGCUAGAGUAUGAUAGAGGAAAGCAGAAUUUCUAGUGUAGAGGUGAAAUUCGUAGAUAUUAGAAAGAAUACCAAUUGCGAAGGCAGCUUUCUGGAUCAUUACUGACGCUGAGGAACGAAAGCAUGGGUAGCGAAGAGGAUUAGAUACCCUCGUAGUCCAUGCCGUAAACGAUGUGUGUUAGACGUUGGAAAUUUAUUUUCAGUGUCGCAGCGAAAGCGAUAAACACACCGCCUGGGGAGUACGACCGCAAGGUUAAAACUCAAAUGAAUUGACGGGGACCCGCACAAGUAGUGGAGCAUGUGGUUUAAUUCGAAGAUACGCGCAGAACCUUACCAACACUUGACAUGUUCGUCGCGACUUUAAGAGAUUAAAGUUUUCGGUUCGGCCGGACGAAACACAGGUGCUGCAUGGCUGUCGUCAGCUCGUGUCGUGAGAUGUUGGGUUAAGUCCCGCAACGAGCGCAACCCUCACUUUUAGUUGCCAUCAUUAAGUUGGGCACUCUGAAAGAACUGCCAGUGAUAAGCUGGAGGAAGGUGGGGAUGACGUCAAGUCCUCAUGGCCCUUACGUGUUGGGCUACACACGUGCUACAAUGGUAUCUACAACAGGAAGCAAGACGGCGACGUUAAGCAAAUCCUUAAAAGAUACCUCAGUUCGGAUUGCACUCUGCAACUCGAGUGCAUGAAGCUGGAAUUACUAGUAAUCGUGGAUCAGCGUGCCACGGUGAAUGCGUUCCCGGGUCUUGUACACACCGCCCGUCACACCAUGGGAGUUGGUUCUACCUU
rnacentral:rRNA from 1 species